AUGGAAUGAGCAUUAGGGGAACAUGUAUUGGUCAGUUUCGGAUAAGUGCUAGAUCUUUUCUUAUUACUUACUUCGCAGUUCCCAAGCUUUAUUCAACAAAUAAUCAGUCUUUCAUGAAGUACACUUUGUUUUUAAUAAAUCGAACAAAAUCAAUUGGAUAGUAAGGGCUGAGAAAUUGUUUUAUUAGAUACACUCGUCGAAUUAUUUAGUCUUAAUAUUUUCCAAUUUAUUUCUUUCGUGGUGCAGUUUUUGUUCGAAAUUUUCGUUGUACAGAUUGGGACAAAUUAAAAAUAUUCGUAGCACUUGUGUGAACCGACCUCACAGCGGGAUUUUCGUAACUACCCAGUCAGCCAAUCUGCAAAUGGCAGGAUUUUGGUAGGCCUACUGCAGGAUCUAACGACUACCUAAGGAUGAGGAGCGAAGGAAGAAGUGGAUACAAAAUUUAAAGCUCGACGAAGAAUGAAUUGCUGACAGCAUGUUAGUCUGCUCACAACAUUUUAGUGAGUUCCUGCUUGAUCACAUUUAAUUAAGUCGUGUCAGAUAAAAUGCUGUGCCUGAAACAGUAGAAGAUGAAGUAAAAGCAUGUAAAAGGAAUUUAUUUGAAGAAGAGGAUUUCACAAGUGCUUAACCUUCCGAAUGACUUGUGAUACAGUCGGCGUCGAAGGACUUGUCGAGAUUUUCAUCUCUUGAACAAGAUUCAGAGUUUUCUUGUUCAAGACGUAAAUCGCAAAAUGAAGAUAGAAAACUGGAAGUAUCAGUGUUUCAAUCUUACAAUACAGAAACGCAAGCUUCUGUAAAUGUAUGUGAUAAAGGAUCGGCUAUAUCACUAAACAAGAUUAUGAAUUCGCCAUCAAAGCUGCAGUUUUAUCGAACUUUAGCGGAACAACAGGAAUAGUAUGAUACCAAAAUAAGAAGACUCGAGCAAGAUGUCAGGCGAAACGAGAAGCAUUUGCAUACUCUAAUGAUUACGUAAUAACAAAUUUACUGAUAAAGGACAAUUAAAAGUUCUGAAUAGUUUAGGAUUACUAGAGAAAGGCCUUACUGUCUCCAAUUACCAAAAUAUUGGUUUGAUUCACCACUGACAAACCUCUACGCAGAAAAAGCAUGCUAUGUCACGCUGUGCAAGUUGACAUUCGAUUGUUUGCUAAUACUGGGAGACGGUAAUAUUAUAUAAAUUAAUUUGCUAAUAGUGGGGCACGGUAAAGCCCAUUCCCCAACAACACUGUUCCUGAAUUAAGAAGUUCCGCUGUAACAAUUCAUUAUUAAAUUUAUUAUUAUGUCAGAGACACGUUUGAUAUUUGUUUGCCAUAUCUGCGAACAAUUAUCAAAUGAUAUAACGGGAUUGACAGUGAACCAGGUUUCAGGGAAAAAGCAAUAUAAGAUAUUCAGGUUACAGAAGAAUCUUUCGAUUGUAAAUUACUUUCUUGUCUAAUACGUGACGAAGCGAAAAUCGAAGAAAGUUUAGAAUUAAGGGAUGAUAGUGGGCCAUAUGGAUAUAGAUAAAAGACAGAAAUCGCAACAGAUAAAUUAACCUUAGCAACUAAGGUAUUGGUUGUUAGCCGUUUAACUAUGACAGACUAUAUGUACGCUCUCGUAAGUUUAGUAAAAAAAAAUCACGCGCGAAAGUGUAUAGUUUAUACUAAACAUAAAAUCCGACGAGAAAGUAAGUACCAAUACAAAAAGUGCGAUGUAGGCUUGUGCCAAAGCAGUGUUCUGGCAGACCUCCAGCGUCUAUCAGCUUAAGAAGAGAAGAUAAAUUGGAGAAAAUACUUUUUCGAUCUCCAAGAAAAUCCAUAAGACAAUCGGGUCGUGGAAUAAACAUUUGAAAAACAAGCGCUCAUUGCAUGUUAAAAUAAGAUCAUUUGAAAGAUACAUUCCAACUUUAAUUCACGCCCUUAGUGGAGGUUCUUGAACAAAGUCAAAUAUAUGGUUCAUAAAAUAUGAGUAAAUAUUUUUGGAACAUCCUUAUAUA